AUGUCGAAACAUAAAGGCGUCAAUGCGCGUUGAUUGUGGCUACCAUGGAAUUAGUCCGUUGGAUUGCUUGAGAAAGGGAUGUUGUUAUGGCGAAUUAAAGGUGGCUGGCCCGUGGUGUUAUCAUCAAAAAGCAAACUGUCCCAUGAUUGAAGCAAACAAACGUGAAGAUUGUGGUUACCCUGGGAUAAGCAAAUCAGAUUGCGUCAAAAAAGGAUGCUGUUACAACGCAAUCAAGGAAAAGGGACCGUGGUGUUAUUACAGGCAAGGUAAGUUGUUCCGCUCUUACUGAUUAGGUAUUUUGAAAGCAUUGUGUACUCUUCCAUCCGUAAUUUUAGAAAAAUGCCGGAAAAUAGCAGCAACAAGACGUCAUGAUUGUGGUUAUCCAGGCAUAACGAAGCGGGCAUGCGAGAAGAAAGGCUGUUGUUAUAGUGAAUUGCUAAACCAAAGUGGACCGUGGUGCUACCACCGCCUAG